rnacentral:tRNA from 1 species
GCCGGAGUGGCGGAAUUGGCAGACGCGACGGACUCAAAAUCCGUUGAGGGUGACACCUCGUGUGGGUUCGAGUCCCACCUCCGGUA